rnacentral:rRNA from 1 species
GUGCAGCAGUCGCGAAUCUUCGGCAAUGGGGGAAACCCUGACCGAGCGACGCCGCGUGUGGGAUGAAGGCCCUUGGGUUGUAAACCACUGUCAGAGGGGAUGAAAUGCCGGAAAGUUAUCUCUCCGGUUUGACAUAGCCUCAGAGGAAGCACGGGCUAAGUUCGUGCCAGCAGCCGCGGUAAGACGAACUGUGCAAACGUUAUUCGGAAUCACUGGGCUUGAAGAGUGCGUAGGCGGUUUCGUAAGUAGGGUGUGAAAGCCCCCGGCUCAACCGGGGAAUUGCGUCCUAAACUGCGAGGCUGGAGUGAGGUAGGGGUGUGUGGAACUUCCAGUGGAGCGGUGAAAUGUGUUGAUAUUGGAAGGAACGCCGGUGGCGAAAGCGACACACUGGACCUUGUCUGACGCUGAGGCACGAAAGCCAGGGGAGCAAACGGGAUUAGAUACCCGUGUAGU